rnacentral:rRNA from 1 species
GACGGGGGGUCCUAGCGUUGUUCGGAAUCAUUGGGCGUAAAGCGUGUGCAGGCGGUUUGGAAAGUUGGAUGUGAAAGCCCCGGGCUUAACCCGGGAAGUGCAUUCAAAACUCCCAAACUUGAGUAAGGAAGAGGGUCGUGGAAUUCCAGGUGUAGUGGUGAAAUACGUAGAUAUCUGGAGGAACACCGGUGGCGAAGGCGGCGAUCUGGGUCGAUACUGACGCUGAGGUGCGAAAGCGUGGGGAGCAAACAGG